ACCCCAAAUUAAAAAGCCCUAUUCUCUCUAUCUGAUCUCUCCCUCUCGUCUCUCGUUUCCCUUACCUCUCGACGCAAGCAGAUCAACGGCAAGAUAGAGCAGCGACGGACCUCCGGUGGUGUCGACGGCGGCGAGGCAGUCCGGCGGCUCCUCCUCUCCUUCCCGUCUCUCUCGUGAAGUUGCAGACUAGCGAACACAGUAGACCAAGAUCCUCCUCGAACCACCAUCUCUCUCUCCUUUCGCUCGGCGUAGCAGGCGGUGGUGGAGGCGUGACUUGACUGGCGAAGCAGGGAUGGUGGCAGAGUGUUGAUGGAUUAUAGAUUUACAGUGGCAGUUAGCAGAUUAAGGAUGGAUUAAUAAUGGAUUAAGAGAUUCCCUAUUGUGGACGAGCUAUGAGUUGAGUCCAAGAUUGGAUGUGCUUGCGUUAUGAGCUUUAGCUUUAAGGAUCUGAAAUUUGUGGCUAGUUUGAGAGCGCGACGUAGAACUAGUUACCUCUUGGAGUUGACUCUUGGUUUAAUGGUUUAGUAUAGAACCCAAAAUGUUGUAUUAUAGUUGAUUUGUAAAUUGGUUAGUGAAUUGUAGUAAUAUGGAUUGCAGUUAGAAAGCUUUGUAGCCUGUGCGUUUGGGCUUAGUGGUGGUCCAAGCGUGGCAUAACACCCCAUUGGUUUAGAGUUUGAAUUCGCUUCCGCAUUUAUUUUCAGUAUGGUUUGUGAGAAAGAUUAUUUAUUUAUGUUUAAUUUUGUAUAUAAAAAAUUGGGGGUGUUACACCAUGGUCGGAGGAGGUAGGCUGGCUACGAUGCCAUGGAUGGAUGAGGCAGGCGCGCGGUGACACCAUGGGCGGAGAAGGUAAGAGGGCAGUCACACCAUAGUUGGAGGAUGUAGGCAGGCGGCUACGCUAUAGCCAGACAAGGUAGGCGGGCGGCCACGCUAUGGUUGGAGGAGGUAGGCAUGCGACCAUACCAUGACUGUAGGAGGUAGGCAUGCGACCAUACCAUGACUGUAGGAGGUAGGCGGGUGACCACGCCAUGGCCGGAUAAGGUGGGCCAGGCCUCCUUCGUUCACCUGAGCCACCCAACAUUCCACCUUGCUAGCCCAUCAUGAAUUUUUCCUUAUUGGGCCACCAUUCUCCUCUGCUACCCCCUUGGGCCAAAUCUUAUCCAAUAAAAUGGGUCUCCUGGGUCCCAUGUCCUCAUCAGUAUUCAUUGCUUGUCCACUUAUUUUUUUUGUUGGUGCUAGUUUGCAAAAAGAAUUGAUUUGGUCUAAUUAGUUUUAUUACAUUAAAUAAAUAGAUGUAUGAAAUCCCUAAGUUCAUUCCC